rnacentral:misc_RNA from 1 species
GUAGGUGCUGGUUCGCCUGCUGAGGUCCACCACGACUAUAAAGAAAGGUGCAGUCUACAACUGUAGGCAACAUCUCUACUGUGCUAGAAGUUACAGGUCUUGUAUUACUAGCAGCAUGUUUAUUUGUGUCCACAGAUCAAAUAGAGGUGGCCCAUGAGGGUUGAGACAUGAUCGACUUGAAGCUAGAAAUAGCAUCUUUAGAAAACAUGCUUAUAUAGAAGCAUAGCCUUUCAUUAAGCAAGUUUUCUUUUAAGUGGAACCUGCGGAAGGAUCAUUAUAGAGAAUGUGCCCUUUGGGUAGAUCUCCCACCCUUUGUUUACAUAUACUUUGUUGCUUUGGCAGGCCUGCUUUACUGCUACUGGCUUCGGCUAGUUAGUGCUUGCCAAAGGAUCCCAAAUUCUUAAUUGAUAAUGUCAGAGUAUUAAAAUAAUAAUUAAAACUUUCAACAACGGAUCUCUUGGUUCUG